UAAAUCUCUGUUGGUCUCUAUUACCAAUGAUAGAAAAAUAAAACAACAUGCUUAAACAUUCAUAAUACAAAUUUGAACCAUUUUAUCAAAAAAAUAUUCAGGAAUUAAAGUUGAACUACACAUAUAAAGGGAACUUCAAAUUUAAACUAAAUGGAUUUUCAACUAAAUUACGACUAUAAUAAGAAAUAAAAUUACAUAGUCCUGACUGAUUGAGUUAACUACACUUGAUGAAAUGCUAUAAUAACUGUAACCUUCGAUUUCAUCCACAACGCUUGUCAAUUUGACGAACAAUAGCUUACAACAUUUCAAAAUGGCUUGAUUUGGGUUUGAGACUCACAGAUCUGGCCUAUUGAUGGCCAGACCCAUAAGUUGAAGCCAUGACAUAACAUUAUCAGUCCUUCACAAAUAGCUUGACAUGUUGUCUUAACAAACCAUUAGGAAGUCUAUAGAUUAGAAUUCAUGAUCAACAAAUUAUGAUGUGGAGAUGCCAAUAAUAGAAACUAAUAGUAAUACAUGUGCUUAAGGACAUUCAUAACAGCAGCAAACAGGUCAGAGGUGAGCGAAUGCCAAUUCAAGCCAUUCAAAUACUUAGAACAUUGCAUAAGAAGAUAUAUAACAUCAUGUAAGCACAACGACCAUCUGAAUUUCACAGAUUUCAAGCUCAAAUUGAUUGUGCUAAGCUCAGAAUCAUACAAAGUUAUCAAUGUGUACCUUAAAGCAGCAAAAGUAAGUAGAAGAGAAAAUAAGUCUCUGAAAUUCUGAGAAGAAACAGCAGCAAGAACACAAAGCAGAAAAACCAAAACCACAGCAGCCUCAAACUCAGACCAUGAAUCCCAGCAAAAGAACAUUGGGAAAUGAAAAGAAACACAGCCUGGAUUUUUUUUCUUUUGUUUUCUAGCUUUAAACUUAAAAAGAAGAUCAGAUUGAAAAAUGAGGAGAAAGAGUCUUGGAAUAUUUUUUUCAGGGCUCUCUUGCGCGUCCGAAAAUUCCUGUUUUAGAAUGCAGAAUGAGUCCUAUUAUAUAGGCUGUGUGUGUGUAAUCAGAGAGAAUGAGAGAGAGUCCCCAAAAAAAAUAGAAUUUGUCAGGCCCUCACUAAAAUUUAGGAAAAUAGCAUCUUUCAAAACUGAAUUUGGACAAUUGUCCUUGUUUCUAGAUGGUUCUUUUUAUUUCUUACCAUUUAACUUCUGAAAAUUAUUUCUUGUGACCCCAACUUGAAAUGAACUCUGAUUUUUAAAAAAAAAUGCAUUUUAGUCCCUUCUAGAGACUUCCCCAACAAACAAAUCAGAUUCCCUAAUUUUCCAAAUCCCUUUGACCCCUUUAACUCCUAUUAAUUACACAUGAGUCAUAGCAGAAAGAAAUCAUGUAAAUCAGUCCCAAUAAACAAAGAAGCAAAAUUAAUCUAAUUAACUCAAUAAUUAAGACUAAUUAGCAUGCAAUUGAGCUGUUAAAAUCACAUAAACCCUUAAAACAAAACAGACAUGUUGCGCCUUAAAACAAAUAGCCAAAAUGUUAAUUUACUGUUAAUUAACUAAUUACUAAGCUAAACUAAUUAAACUGAGAUAAACGUUCAUCAAACAAGUUCUGAUUAAACACCUAAAACACAUUGUUCUUCUCUCUUUUUUUUUAAUCUUUCUUAAAGCAAACAAAAUAACAAAACAAGAUAAAGAGGGCAAGGAUGUACCUAGUAAAGAAAAACAAAACUACCCAUCUUGAAGCGAAACAAGAGGCUCGACCGGAUUCCGAUGAUUCCGUAAUAAACUAAAGCUUACAUUAAUUAAUUGUUCUUGACAAGAACAAAUAAUUAAUGUUAGUUUCAACUCAAAACAGCUUGAACUUGAUGAAGGAAUCGGAAAGAACUAAAUUAGGUUUUCUGGCCGAUUUUAGAUCUAAAAUUCGAGGAUUUUGAGUGGUGUUUUAGGAAAAUUGAAGGUAGAUUUGGAUUGAGGAUGAAGUGAGGAGUGUGGGGUGUGAAUUUGGGCGGAUUUGGAGGUCGUUUGGUGGUGCCAAGAUGGCGACCGCUGGUGGAGGUUUGUGGGAGUUUGGGGGCGGCUAGGGUUAGGCUGAGGGAGAGAGAUGGAGAAGUGAGAGGGAUCUGAGGGGUUUGGAAGAGGGGGGGGGGUCUCCGACAGAUAUAGGGGAUUGGAGAGUGGAGUUGUGGGUCGUUCGAUCAAAGGAAAUCAACGGCUAAGAUCGACGUUACGAAAACGACGUCGUUUUGGUUUAGUGAGGAAUCUGGACCGGAUUGGGGAGGCGUUGGACCUGGGCCGCGUGAGUUUGAGGGGAAUCUUAGCAGUUGGGCUUCCUUGAGAAUGGUCCAAUACAAAUACAACCCCUUUUCUUUCUUUGUUUUUCUCUUUCUUUUCCUUUAAUUUAAAGUUCUAAUCAAAUUAAUUAAAAACUAAAUUAAAUCCUAAUUUAAAUCUAAUUUGUAGAAAUAAACUUAGUUAUCUAUUUUACUAUUUAAAUAAUUAAUUAAUUUAAACUAAUGAAAGCAAAAUUACUAAUUUGCAAUUAAGAGCUAAAAUGUAAAAAUGACCCAUAUUUUUUGUGAUUUUUCGUUUAAUAAUGCAAUUAACUCAUGUAAUUAAAUAAUAAUAUGCAAUUAAAUCUAAGAUGCUAUGCAAUGAAUAUUUUAUAUAUUUAUGGUAUUUUUUAUAAUUUUAAAUAUUAAAUAAGUAACUAAAUGCAGACAAAAUUAACCAAAAAAUCCUAAAAUUCAAUAAAAACGAAAAUAAUUUAGAAAGAUCUACUUUUGAACUUUGUAGGAGUAAUUUUAGGAAGACAAAAAUCAGGUGCUCACAACUGCCCCUCUUUGCUCCGAAACACGAAGAGUUUUUGGGCAAAGAUAAAGUGAGCAAAUACGAGCAAUUUUUUGUCCUUUUGGAUACUCCAUGGGAAGCGUUAUUAAAAAGUCUGACUGAACCUUGCUUCGGAGGUUGUCUACAUAUUCUUGGCUAUAAAGGAAUCAAGUCAGUGUAGUUCUGAAAGUUUUAGUAGCUGGGACUACCGAGAAGCUGUGAUUUCACUGUUGUUGCUGUUGUUACUGCUUGCUGACCUCAUUAUUAUACCAAAAUCAAAAUGAAAAAAAACUAAGCAAGUCUAUCAGCUAUGAGUUACAAGAUUCCUAUCUAUAUGUGAUGACCCAAAAUGUCAUCUUUUUUUAAUGAUUAAUUUUGUGUUCUAAGACCUCGAAAAUAAAAAUACUAUUUAUCAUUACUCGACUUGCGUGCGCAGUUCGUAAAAUUUUUCAGAAAGUUUUUAUGUGAAAAUGGAUUAAAAUAUGAAUUAGAGCUUUAAAACUCAACUGAGUUGACUUUGGUCAAUAUUUUGAGCAAACGAACUCGGAUCAGUAUUUUGAUAAUUCCGGUAGGUCCGUAUCGUGAAUUGGGACUUAGGCGUAUGCCCGGAAUUAAAUUCUGAGGUUCCUAGCCCGAGAUAUGGAAGUCCGUAGUGGAAUUAGGCUUGAAAUUUCGAAAGUUGAAUUUUAAGAAAGUUUGACCGAGGGGGCUGACUUUUUGAUAUUGGGAUCGAAAUCUGAUUCUGAAAAUUUUCAUAGCUCCGUUAUGUCAUUUAUGACUUGCGUGCAAAAUUUGAGGUCAAUCGGACUUGAUUUGCUAGGUUCCGGUGUUGUUUGUAGAAAUUAAAAGUUUCAAUAUUCAUUAGGCUUGAAUCUAUGUGUGAUUCAUAUUUUUAGUGUUGUUGGAUGUGAUCUGAAGAUUCGACUAAGUUCAUAUGGUGUUUUAGAACUUGUUGGUAUAUUUGGUUGAGGUCCCGAGGGCCUCGGGUGUGUUUCGGAUGCUCAACGGGUCAUUUUUGGACUUAGAGAAGUAGCAGAUUUUUCUGGUUUUUGUUGCAGAAGAUUGUUCUUCGCGUUCGCGAACGUGUGGUCAGUGGAAGCAUCACGAAAGCGAGGAGUAGGACGCGUUCGCGAAGAGUGUUUUCUGAGUGUGAGGUUUUGUUCUUCGCGUUCGCGAAGGGGAGGACGCGAACGCAAAGGUAUGGUCUGUGUGUGCAUCGCGAACACGUGAGUGGCGUCGCGUUCGCGAAGGAGAGCGAGGCAAGGAUCGCGUUCGCGAAGAAGAAACCACUGGACAGAAUGUUUAAGUUCAAAAAUGGGACUUCGUCCCAUUUUUCAUUUUUAACGAUUUGGAGCUCGGAUUGUGGCGAUUUUUGAGAGAUUUUCAGAUAAAACGUUGGGGUAAGUGUUCUUAACUCAAUCUUUGUUAGAUUACCCGAAUCUAUCACUGUUUUUAACAAUUAAUUGGUGAUUUAAGUUGAAAAAAAUUCGAAAACCCUCUUGGAUAGAUUUGAGGAUUUGAGGGUCGAACUGUUAUUGGAAUUUAGUCAUUUUGGUAUGAUUAGGCUCGUGGUUGAAUGGGCGUUCAUAUUUCGUAACUUUCGUCGAAUUCCGAGACAUGGGCCCCAUGGGCCAUUUUUGAGUUAAUUUCGGAUUUUUAUUGAAAAUGUAAUAUUUUCUUAUAGAAUUAAUUCUAUAAUUUUUGUUGACUGUAUCAAAUUAUUUAUGACUAGAUACGAGUCGACCGGAAUCGAAAAAUCGAGGAAAAGGCAUAUUACUUGAUUAAAUUGGAGCAAGUCGAGGUAAGUGACUUGUCUAACCUUGUGUGGGAGAAAUUCCCCUAGGAUUGGUAUUAAAUGUAAUGUGAUGAAAGUCGUGUACACGAGGUGACGAGUGUGUACACGGACUAAAUGUGAAGGAUUAUGUGUUCAAAUAAUGAAGAUCUUUGUUGCAUAUUAAUUAAAUUAUUAAAUCUUGAUAUAUUCUCCAUUAUUGAUUUGAUUUGUAUACCUUAAAUUUGCUUGACUUUUUCCUGCUAAUUGUUUUACCUGUUUAAUUGAAACUUGGUUUCUUUUAUAUUGUGCAUUAUUUGAAGGUUAAUUUUCUUUAAAUUAAAUAUUAUUAAUAUGAAGUAUUUGACAUUUCUAAAUUUGAUAUUGAAGCAACGUAUUAAAGAUUUUGAAAUAUUAUUUUUCUGAAUUAUUUAUUCCUGAAUAUUUCGUAAGAUUUUUGAAUUAUUUUGGUAUGAGCCGUGAGCUCUUUAUUAUUGAAAAAUAUUGUUGAUGAUUUAUUUUUGAAAAAAUUAAAAUAUUGGGCACUUGAGGUGCAGAUUGUGAUAUAUUGUGAUAUUGAUAUGCAUGCGGUGGUAUAAGGUCUGGGUAUUGAAACGCAUGCGGUAAGAUAUGGGUGGCUUGAUACGCGUGGCUAGUAGGGGUGACUACUAGAAUUCAUGCGGUGUGAUUAGGGUGGCUAAAAUGCGGGAUGCUAUUUCGAAAAAAAUAUUUUAUUUAAAUGAAUUGUGAAGGCUCCCGCGGUGAUAUAAGAAAAUGAGAUAUUGUGAAUUUAUUUAUGAUUUGGGACUACGAGGCGGUACCUCGGUAGUGCCCUUGUUGAUAUUGAUUUAUGGCCAUAGUUGCCUUCGAUUAAUUGUUGUGAUUUUCAUAAAGUUAAAAGGAAUUCUGUUUUGAUUCCACGAGAUAUUAUUUGCAAUUAUUUGGUGUCAUUAAAUGUAACAUACUAUUUGAUUCAUUUCCAUCGUCAUUUUAUCUUAUUAAAUUGUUUAAACAUUUUUUCCAUGUCAUUAUCUAUUCUCCAGUAGGGCCUGACCUGACCUCGUCACUACUCUACUGAGGUUAGGCUUGGCACUUAUUGGGUACCGCUGUGAUGUAUUCAUACUACGCUUCUGCACAACCUUUUGUGCAGAUCCAAGUACAUCUUACCAGUCUAGACGUCAGUGAGUUACCUGCACACGGAGACUUCGAGGUAUAUCUGCCAGCGUCCGCAGACUCCGGAGUCCCCUUCUGUCAUUUUAUGUUGCUUUCUUAUUUUUCUUUAGACCUUGAUACAUAGCAACAUUGAGAAUAAAUUUUUAAAAGCUUGUGACUGAUUUCUACCGGGUUUUGGGAGUUGUAAUUAUUUGAAUUGUAGUUUAUUUAUUUCAGAUAUUUAUGAUUAUUCCGCAUUAAUAGGCUUACCUAGUCUUAGAGACUCGGUGCCAUCACGACCUCCCACGGAGGGAAUUUGGGGUCGUGACCCUAUAGGUCUUCAGAAACUUGAUUUUGAAUCUUCUACAGUUCUGUUGUGCAUCUCGAAUUGUCGACUCGCAUUUUUGAGGCGAGCUUCUGCUACCUCUAACUUGAAUUGACCCUAUUCUUCAGGCGGGCUCCUACUACUGUCUUAAAGGUUGAAGUUAAUUCUGAAGUGACUUCCCUCGUUUUUCAGGUGGGUGCCUGAUGCUGACUUAAAAAUUAAAAUAAAUUCCCUCGUUCUCCAGGUGAGCGCCUGAUGCUGACUUAAAACUUGAAAUAAUUUCCCUCAUUUUUCAGGUGGGCGCAUGAUGCUGACUUAAAAUUGAAAUUUUCAGGUGGGCGCCUGAUAAUUACUUGCACUUGAAAUAAGUUCCCCCAUUCUCUAGGUGGGCGCAUGAUGCUGACUUAAAACUUGAAAUAAUUUUCCUCAUUUUCCAGGUGGGCGCCUGCCAAUGACUUGAACUCGAAAUAAAUUCCCUCAUUUUUCAGAUGGGCGCCUGCUCAUGACUUGAACUGAAAUGAAUUCCCUCAUUUUCCAGGUGGGCGCCUGCUCAUGUCUUGAACUUGAAAUAAACUCCCUCAUUCUCCAGGUGGGCGCCUGCCAAUGACUUAAAACUUGAAAUAGAUUCCCUCAUUCUCCAGUUGGGCGUCUGCUGACUCAAAACUUGAAAUAAAUUCCCUCGCUUUCCAGGUGGGUUCCUAAUGUUGACUUAACAUUUGAAAUGAAUUCCCUCGUUGUCCAUGUGGGCGCCUGCUCAUGACUUGAACUUGAAAUAAACUCACUCAUUCUCCAGGUAGGGCGCCUGCGCUGACUUAAAACUUGAAAUGAAUUCCCUCAUUCUCCAGGUGGGCGCCUACAAUCACAUUAACACAGACAAAACAAAGAAACUUUUUUGCCCCAGUUCGUACCAGGAACCUUCAUUGAGUGUUAGUUGAAUCCCAUUAUCCAGGAGGGUCCUGAAAAUUAAAAACUAGAUCCCAUUGUCUAGGAGGAUCCUGAAAAUCUGAACUUAUCUGGAACAUGCUUUCCUCAUGGAGUAUCCCUAUACAGCAAACACAAUUUGUUACCCAUGUUUCACUCAAAGAAAAUUUCGUCAGUUUUAAAAUGUGGUGGUUAGUUUGUGGCAUCCUUGUUGAAGGUAUCUUCUUCUGCCGCUACCACGCUUAAUUCUGAUUAGCUGCUUCGGCUAACAAAGAAUUGUUUGACAUUUUUGAUCGAUCCUUGACCACAAAAAACCUCUGAAUCUGAAUCCCUUACACUCAACUUGUUAUAUGGUACUUUUAUUUUGACAAUUGUUGAACCUUUGCAUUUCCUUAAAAUUCACGAAUCACUUGACCACCUGAACUUCAAUUACCGCCACAUUGCUCAUUUUGAAUCAUGUCACUUGUGAUGUGUUUGGCUGAAUCUCGCUUGGUGCAAUUAAAAAGUUGGUAAUGGGCUUUAAAGUCCUUUCUUUCUUGCAUAACAAAGACUAACUUGGCAGGGACUUAGAAAAAUAGACCCAAAAGAAAACGAAGCGAAGUGACUUCGAGAAUUAGGAAUAAAGUAGAAAUUUUUGAACAAAUAUGACUAUUUGAAGAAAAAUGGAAAAGAGACUUAUCUGAAUGAAGCAGUUGGCUCCAAUGAUCAUGACGUGCAUUUCGGAUUGAUCAGCCAAAUCCAUCCAACUAAUCACAUUUUAGUUCAUGCCAUUUCUUCAUACUUCAAACCGGGUUUCCAUAAUUCAAUUUCUCUGUAAAGUCAUGAACCUCAAUCGGCUUGUAGUGCCCCGAGGGCCAGCAAACCUCUCUCAUUUGCUCCUAUUUCAACUUACAGUUGCCUUACAGUGCCCGUAAGAGUUUUCACCAAUAAGACUCUCUCAUUAUGAAUUUUCUCUCAACUCACCAUCGCCCUACGGUGCCCGUGAGGGUUUUCACCAAUAAGACUCUCUCAUUUAUUCAUUUUUCCUUAUGCCCAUGAACAAAGGUGCUACCCAUGAUGUAAAUCAUACCUCUAUCUCACUUGACUUGGCAUCCUAAAAGUUGAUCAGAAGGUCUUUCUUUAGACUGUAGUGUAGGUUUUGGACAGGGUUAGAAAGAAAGGGUGGCAUGAAGGCUCAAAAUAAUUUAAGAUGAAGGGGUUCAAGAUUACAACUUUUGGAAUCAGAUCUUUUUAUAAAACUAAAACUUCUGCCCCAGUUUCUUCGAAUCUGGGGAAUUUUGAAUUUUUAUUUUGAUGGGACCGACCCAUAUAAGGCUGUCUACGUAUCCUUAACAGGAAUCAGGUCGAACGUAGUUCAAACUAGUAAAAGUUGUUUAUUUUUGUUACUUUGCUUUUCUUUUCUUUUUUUUUCUCCUUUCUUUUUCUCUUUUCUUUCUUUUGCUUUUCUCUUCUUCUUCUUCUUUUUUUUAUUUUUCUUUUCUAUUUCCAACUCUACUUCUGAUUCCAAAAGAGGGGUAUGAAAGAAAAUAAAUAAGGCUCAAAAAGGGGUAACAAAUGAUAAAAUUAUUUGGGAUAGCAGAAUAAAAUGCCUUCGUCAUUCCAACUUUGAAACAUGCCUAGUACAAAAUGCGAUUGAAGAUAAGUAAAGAAAUCAUACAUAAUAUCUCUUGGCUGCAUCAGAAUUGAUAGCCAUAUCCACACAUUUACCUUCUAUGUAUGUUAAAUACAAAGCACCAUUGGGCAACACCUUUGUCACAAUGAACGACCCCUGCCAGUUUGGGGCGAACUUGCCUUUAGCUUCAGCCUGAUGUGGAAGAUGCGUUUCAAUACCAGCUGGCCCAAUUCAAAUUUCCGGGGACGCACCUUCUUGUUGUAUGCUCUUGCUAUUCUUUUCUGAUACAAUUGACCACGACAUACUGCUGCCAAUCUUUUUUCAUCAAUCAAACUCAACUGCUCUAGUCGAGUUUUGACCCAUUCAUCAUCAAUUCCAGCUUCAGCAACGAUCCGAAGGGAUGGAAUCUCAACUUCUGCAGGUAUAACUGCCUCAGUUCCAUAUACCAGCAAAUAAGGAGUUGCACCUACUGAAGUACGAAUAGUAGUGCGAUAACCUAGUAAAGCAAAAGUAACUUUUCAUGCCAUUGCCUGGAACCUUGCACCAUCUUACGAAGUAUCUUCUUUACGUUCUUGUUAACAGCCUCAACGGCUCCGUUUGGCUUAGGACGAUAUGGAGUGGAGUUGAUGCAUAAUCUUGAAUUGUUGACAUACCUCUUUCAUCAAAUGAUUGUUGAGGUUAGCAUCAUUGUCUGUGAUGAUUACCUUGGGAAUUCCGAACCGGCAGAUGAUAUUUGAAUGAACAAAAUCUACCACCGCCUUCUUGGUCACGGACUUGAAAGUUACAGCUUUGACCCACUUGGCAAAGUAAUCAAUGGCCACCAGAAUAAACCUAUGCCCAUUUGAUGCUGCCAGCUCAAUUGGUCCAAUGACAUCCAUGCCCCAAGCAACAAAGGGCCAAGGUGCAGACAUUGUGUGUAACUCGGAUGGAGGGGAAUGAAUCAAAUCACCAUGCACCUGGCAUUGAUGACAUUUGCGAACAAAGUUGAUGCAAUCUCGUUCCAUGGUGAGCCAAUAAUAACCUGCUCAAAGAAUCUUCUUUGCCAAGACAUACCCACUCAUAUGCGGUCCGCAAACUUCGGAAUGCACUUCGGCCAUGAUGGUAAAAGCUUGUUUAGCAUCUACGCACCUUAGUAGUCCUAGAUCUGGAGUCCUCUUGUACAAGAUUCCCCCCAUUUAAUAAAAAUCCACUAGCCAGACGUCGAAUGGUUCUCUUUUGAUCACCUAUGGCAUGUACCGGAUAUACCCCCGACUUGAUGUAUUCUUUGACAUCAUGGAACCAAGGCACACCAUCAAGUUCCUCCUCAACCACAUUGUAAUAGGCAUGCUGAUCACGGACUUGGAUAUGCAGAGGGUCGACAUAAGUCUUAUCUGGAUGGUGUAACAUUGAUGCUAGAGUAGCCAAAGCAUCGGCGAUCUCAUUAUGAAUCCUGGGAAUAUGCCUGAAUUCUACUGACCUAAAUCGUUGACAAAGAUCAUGCAGACACUGUCGAUACAGUAUGAGCUUCAAAUCCCGAGUCUCUCAUUCUCCCUGAAUCUGGUGAACCAACAAAUCUGAAUCUCCCAAAACCAAUAUUUCCUGAACUCCCAUGUCUAUAGCUAGUCUCAAACCCAGAAUGCAUGCCUCGUACUCAGCCAUGUUGUUGGUGCAAUAAAAUCAAAGUUGAGCUAUUACGGGGUAGUGAUGCCUUGUUUCAGAAAUGAGUACAACCCCUAUUCGGACGCCUUUCAUGUUAGCAGCUCCAUCAAAGAAGAGUUUCCAACCUGGCUUUUCCUCAUGGUCAACCUCGUCAACAUACAUUACCUCUUCAUUAGGAAAAUAAGUCUUCAAUGGUUCAUACUCUUCAUCCACCGGAUUCUCGGCCAAGUGGUCGGCCAAGGCUUGGGCUUUCAUCGCGGUCCGGGUCACAUAGAUGAUGUCAAAUUCUGUGAGUAAAAUCUGCCACUUUGCAAGUCUUCCUGUGGGCAUAGGCUUCUGAAAGAUAUACUUUAGAGGAUCCAUACAAGAAAUGAGAUAAGUAGUGUAGGAUGACAGAUAAUGCUUUAAUUUUUGUGCUACCCAAGUCAGGGCGCAACACGUCCUUUCAAGAAGAGUAUACUUAACCUCAUAAGGAGUGAACUUUUUGUUGAGAUAAUAAAUGGCUUGCUCUUUCUUGCCUGAGAUGUCGUGUUGACCCAGUGCACAACCAAAAGAAUUAUCCAGGACUGUCAGAUAGAGAAUCAAAGGUCUCCCAUGCUCUGGCGGUACCAGCACAGGUGGGUUUGACAGGUACUUCUUGAUCUUAUCAAAUGCUUCCUGACACUCGUCAGUCCACUUAACCGCAGCAUUUUUCCUCAACAACCUAAAAAUGGGCUCAGAAGUCGUUGUGAGUUGAGCAAUAAACCUGUUGAUGUAGUUUAACCUCCCGAGUAGGCUCAUCACCUCAGUUUUAUUCUUUGGAGGUGGUAAUUCUUAGAUGGCCUUGAUCUUUGACGGGUCCAACUCAAUACCGCGUCGACUGACUAUGAAUCCCAAUAGUUUUUCGGACGGGACACCAAAUGCACAUUUCGCUGGAUUGAGCUUGAGGUUGUACCUACGGAGCCUUUGGAAAAACUUUCUCAAAUCCCCAACAUGGUCGGACUGCUUCUUUGAAUUUAUGAUCACAUCAUCUACAUAAACCUCAAUUUUCUUGUGUAUCAUGUCAUGAAAUAUGGUAGUCAUUGCCCUUAUGUAAGUUGCCCCAGCAUUCUUCAAACCGAAUGGCAUUACCCGGUAGCAAUAUGUCCCCCAUGGCGUGAUGAAUGCUAUCUUUUCUCCGUCUUCUUCAUCCAUCAGGAUCUGGUGAUAUCCUGCAUAGCAAUCCACAAAAGACCCGAUCUCGUGCUUGGCACAAUUGUCAAUCCAAAUGUGGAUGUUUGGUAAUGGAAAGUUAUUCUUUGGACUUGCCUUGUUGAGAUCACGAUAAUCAAUACAUACCCUGGUCUUAUCAUCUUUCUUUGGUACUGGCACAACAUUAGCUAACCAAGUGGGAUAUCGAGUGACCCGAAUGACCUUUGCGUCAAGCUGCAUUGUGAUUUCUUCUUUGAUCUUCACACUCAUGUCAGUCUUGAACUUCAUUAACUUUUGCUUGACUGGAGGGAAUGCCGGAUCAAUUGGCAAUUUAUGAACUACCAAAUCAGUGCUCAAACCCAGCAUGUCGUCAUACGACCAUGCAAAAGUAUCUUUAUAUUCAAAUAGUGCUUUGAUUAUUUCUUCCUUGAUUUGCGGUUUCAGAUGCACACUUAUCUUGGUUUCCCUGAUAUUAUCUUGAUCUCCUAAAUUGAUUGCUUCAGUUUUAUUCAGAUUAGGCUUGGCUUUUUCUUCAAAGUGAUUUAGUUCUCUACUGAUUUCCUGAAAUGCUGCUUCUUCAUCAUAUUCUGUUUCAUCACACUCUACUUCUUGGAUUGUUAUUUUAGAAUUAGAUUGGCUUUUAAGAUUUGGCUGAAAAUUCCUCAUGCAUGUCAUGUCAUUGAAACCAGCAUAAAAAGAAUUGUACAGAAAAAAAAAGAAACAAAAACAAAAAUGAAACGCUAUUAGGAAUAAUGGAAAAACGGAAAAUUGUAUUUCAUUGAAAAUAAAAAGAUAGAAAGGUUUGUACAUCAAAACAAGCAAACAUAAAAAUCUGGAUUACAACCCUGGGAUAAAUAAAAUGACAGAAAGGAAAACAAAGAAAACUACUAAAACUCCUUCCGGGUGGGGAGAGGAGUAGCUUUCCAAUUUCUAAGCUUCACAUUUGGCCCAACAAGCUGCACAUCGGCAUUACUGGAGCCUUCCCCGAUUUCUACCAUAUUAACCUCAUCAAAAAGACUCUGGAAUCUCUUGAUCAGCUCUUCAUCAAAGUCGACCACAGGUUUUGGGACUGCUGAUAUUGGGUGUUUUGCGAUCCCUGGCUUGACAAAAGACUUGGAGAUGUGUGGAACAGGAUUAGGAAGUGACCAUGCCUUUCUGUUCAAAUUUUUAGCCCUUUUCACGUCCUUCCCUGUGAGUGUGAAUCCCAAACCAAAUAUACCGAAACUUUCAUGUGGACACAUCGGAUGUGCAAUACCUUGCAGAGAUGAACCCAGACCUUUGCCUGGCACAAAAUCAUUCUUCAAUAUUUCAUUUGCUACCGUGACGGACGCGGAGGGUAGCUUUGGACCCGUAAUGCAUCCUCCCUCAGGAAUCUUCUCGACAGAUACUGUUUUGAACGUUUGGUAAACCCAUGGCCCUUUAUCAUCUUCAGCUUCAAUAAAUGGAACAGUUGUGUCAUUGUAAGCAGAUAAGUUCUCAUCACCGUGCACAACUAUUUCCUGCCUGUCCCAUUCGAACUUUACCAUUUGAUGCAGAGAAGACGGGAUUGCCUUGGCAGUAUGUAUCCAGGGCCUGCCCAAUAACAAGUUGUAGGAGACAGCCACAUCUAGCACUUGGAACUCCAUAGUGAACUCAACUGGCCCUAUUGACAAUUCGAGCAUUAUAUCACCGACAAAAUCUUUCCCUCCUCCAUCAAAGCCUCGAACACAUAUAUUGUUCAUGUGGAUCCUUUCAGUGUCAAUCUUCAACUUUUGCAAAGUGGACAGAGGGCAAAUAUUUACACUAGAACCGUUAUCGAUCAGUACCCUUGAGACAGCAGAAUCCUCGCACUUCACUGUGAGAUAAAGGGCUCGGUUGUGUUCUGUACCCUCCAUAGGAAGUUCAUCAUCUGAGAAAGUGAUCAUGUUUGCUUAGAAGAUCUUGUUAGCAAUCUUCUCCAGGUGGUUCACCGUGAUCUUAUCAGGAAUAUGGGCCUCAUUCAAAAUCUUCAUCAGGGCUUUGCGGUGUUCAUCUGAAUGUAUCAGCAAAGACAAAAGAGAGAUCUGAGCUGGUGUUUUCCUUAACUGCUCCAUAAUGGAAUAGUCUUGCAUUUUCAUCUCUUUCAAGAACUCUUCAGCCUCUUCUUCGGUGACCGGCUUCUUUACUGAGAUGUGGCCAUCCUUGAAUGGCUUGGAUUUCCUCAGUUCCUCUAGGUAAAACAUCUCCCAGAACGAGUCAGCCCUCCGGUUUCAUUGACUUCUUCCUCUACUUUUUUCCCUUUAUAUGUCACUAUCACUUGUUUGUAAUUCCACAGGACGACCUUUGUGUCAAUCAUUGGUAACUGGGUCACUGGCUUAAUAAUAACGAAGGUAAUACGAGCCCCUUCCACGAUUAUGACAGGCUUGCCCGGGAUCCCUAGCACGACCACUUUUUGCUUUUCCUGUUUCGCUUCACCAUCAAUCGGAGGCCCUUUCACAACCAAUACAGAUGGCUUCACGUUGAGCGUGCUUAGCUUCUCCGACACCCCUUCAAUUGUCAAAGGCAUUUCUUUUGCAUAAUCUGGAUCUUUAACUGGAUUACUUUCGCUAGCUCAGAUCAUCAUGAUAGACUUGGAAGAAUUAUUGGGCUCCCCAUCCUUAUGAACUAUCUCAAUCAUAUGUGUCUCUGUAUGGGCUGGCAAAGGAUUUUGGUUGAUGUUUGGCACCUCCGGGCUCUGGACCACAAUUUAAUUUGUAUCAAUGAGCUCUUGGAUCGCCUCUUCAAAUGCCAACACUUCUCUGUGUCGUGCCCUGGGGCAUCAGAACAAUAUGCGCAUCUGAGGGAACAAUGAAGGUUCCUUGGAGGUGGAUUUGGUAUCUUUGGCUCAAUCGGCCUCAAAACGUCCAAUUGCCUCAACCUUUGAAACAAAUUGGUAUAUGACUCUCCAAGAGGGGUGAAGGUUUCUUUCCGCUGCUGCCUUUCUUUUCUAUAAUCCGGCCUUGGUCGAAAUCUUGGACCAGUUGGGUUUCGGUAUAGUUGUGGGGGUGGAUAAGGAUUUUGUGGAGUUGGAGCACGCCAUUGCGGGUAAGGAGGGGGUUGCGUAUAUGACUGUGCAUGGUAAACAUGGUAUUAGGAUGGUCUGAGUGAAUAUUCAGGGUCUUGUGGUGGGAGAUAAUGUUGGGAUGGAUUAUAUGGAGCUUGGGUGUAGGCUUGGGGUCGAGGUUGGGUGUACUGGUGAGGCGAAUCCGCUGGGCCACGCCAUGAUCCAGAGACAAACAUAGCGACAUCAUCUUUCUUCUUUUUGCCUAACAGGCUUCCGGUGCCACUUUGAAUUGCCUGUGUGGUUGCUUUUAUGGCGGAGUAGCUCAUGAUCUUGAUUUACUUGAGUCCUUCUUCCACCAUUCCUCCCAUCUUUACCACAUCGUUGAAAGACUUACCUAUGGCUGAGAUCAAAUGGCUAAAGUAAGUAGGCUCUAGGGCUUGAAGAAAGUACUCGACCAUCUCUUCUUCUUCCAUUGGAGGAUUGACCCGUGCAGCUUGUUCUCUCCAUCUGAAACCAUAUUCCCUAAAGCUCUCGCUGGGCUUCUUCUCUACCUUGGUCAAAGAUAGGCGAUCCGGGACAAUGUCUAUAUUAUACUGAAAGUGCCGAGCAAAGGCCUGAGCCAAGUCGUCCCAUAUGUACCACCUGCUAGCGUCUUGGCGGGUGUACCAUUCCAAAGUUGCCCCACUCAGACUCCGACUGAAAUAUGCCAUUAAUAAUUCGUCUUUCCUACCAACGCCUCUCAUCUUGCUGCAAAAGCCUCUCAAAUGGGCCAUGGGAUCUCCAUGUCCAUUGUACAGGUCAAACUUGGGCCUCUUGAAGCCAGCGGGCAGUUGGACAUCAAGGAAUAAGCAUAAAUCCUUAUAAGCCACACUUACUUGGCUUCCUAUCCCUUGCAUGUUAUUCAAAGAUUGCUCUAAACUCUUCACUUUCCUGAAUAUCUCAUCUUGCUCCACGUUACGGGAUUAUUUCUCAGUUUCAACAGGAGGUUCAAAGUGAGGGGUGUAGGGAUAAGGAUCUGUGACUUUAAAAGUUGGUAUCUGGAGCUUGGAACGUAGGUUCACUAGAAGAUCGGUGGAGGGUAGCUUGCGGAGGAGCUACAAAAACAGGAGCAGAUGUCGGGGCAGGGUAUGCAGUUGUUUUGGCUGGUGGAGCGUGGAAAGUUUGGGACGAGGCGUCGGGGUAGUGGUGGUAAGGGGUAAAGCCCGGUGCAUGCUGAGGGGAAAGAUCAACGGUAAUGGGAUCCUGGGCUUGUGACAGUGGUGGGAUGAAAGCGGGAUUUUCUAUGUAGUUAGCGGGGAAUGAAGGUGGAGGAUGCCCCCUGAUCCAUGCUUGAUACAUUUCUGCCAUUUGAUGCUUCAACCUGUGGACCUCUUCUUUCAGUCCAGAUUCGGAUUCUACCAUCUCCCUCGGUGGGUCAACAACUCCCGUAUCUGUUUCUUUGCUGGCCAUGACUUCCUUGCGCUUUGAUCUAGUGUUAUAGGGGUGACUUGCCAGGAUGCCAACAAACUAACCACCUAAAUAGAACCUGUCUUAACAAUGCACACACAAUAACUUGGUCAAUUUUGAAGCAUUUAACAGACAGGGAAUCGCAUAUUGGGGAUGCGAUGCACCUGAGCAGUUAAACGUUUCUAAAUGCUUUGCGACGGCUUAUGUGUUUCAUCCCGGCUCUUUUCCCAAAUUCAAAUCCUGAUUUUCUUGUGCCGUGUUUCACUCUUUUAGUUCUCAUUCUCUCUUUUUUCCUUUUGUUUGGCCCUUUUUUUCUUUCUUCUAUCCUUUUUUCUUUUCCUCUCUUUUUUUCUUCUCUUUUCUUUUAUUUUAAGACUAUGAUCGAAUCAUAUGGAGAUUGCCUACGUAUCAUGAUGCCGCAAGAAUCAGAUCAUUACGUAGUUCAAGGAUAUAAAUACGAAAUGAAAGAAAAUCUUUUGGGUUUUCAAUACUUCAUUAAUAAAGUCACGUCAUCUUUUUUUGUUUUCUAUUACAAGGACUUAAAAGUACUGACGACUACAAAAGAAAACAUACAGACUCGAAAUAAACAGCUUUGAACAAAACUCUAGAAAGCAGUAAAGUACAGACUCGAAAAACUGAAAAGUCAAAAGUACAUGAGAGCCUCCACUAGUACUCUGGGAGCCUGCGAGACAUCAGCUGGUCUUUGCGCGGGCCUUCGCGCAAUGUCUUCUUUAAGGCCGUUUAAGUCAUCUAUUACCUGGUGGACGAAGGUCAUCAUAAAAGCAAAAAAAAUGGACCUAGUCAUGUCUUCACACUCGUGACAUUUCAUCACGACAUAGUGAGCUAUCUCCUUAAUUCUGGUUCUGAUAACUCCUUUUUCUUGAAGCAGACGCCCAAUUUGCUGUGCCCGGGCUUCCAACACUUGUGUGCUGGUAUUGUUUUGGUCCUGUAGUUGUUGCACACUUUCUUCUAGUCGGCCAAUUAGUGCGUAGCAGUGCUCCUUUUCUGUCUGAAAAUCUUUGAUUUGCUGGAUCAUUUCAUUCUCAAGGGCAAACAGCUUUUCCUUUAGAACUGUUAUUUCUUUGCCAUAUUUUUGUCUCAAAUGGUGGGCUUGUUCUUCUGCUCCUUUGGCCAACAUUGUUUGAGCAUUUAGCAAAUUCUUUUCGGCCUUUAUCAAGUCAGUUGCAUAGUCGUGUACCUACAUUCUUAUGUUACUGAUGAUUUUUUCAUAUCUUUCGAUCCUUACAGGCGUUUCGGCGGCUAUCCUCAUGUCCCGGAGUUGGGCUCGGAGAGCCUCGUUCUCUCGGGUCAAUUUUCUCUUUUCACCUUCGGUUACCUGUGCCUGUAAGUCAUUCUCAAAUGCGAGGUUCCUCAACUUUUCCUCUAAGGCGUGAAUGGUGGCUUGAUAUUUCUUUUCCUUUUCUCCCCAGGCCAAAUGCUCUCGGACUUUGUCAUCAAAAGCCUGAAUAUGAGGCCUUUUGGCGGGCCUUUCAGGCUCGGGCUCUGGUUCAUCAUUAAUGCAGUUUCUUCUUUCGAACCAUGUGGCAUAGCCUGGAUCUACUUCUCCUCUUGCAAGAUCGGGCACUUGGGUGUCCUCUUUUAAGUAUCGACAACCAUUCCAGAUUUGUUGGAUUAAAGCCUCGGAAAGUGGGGCUUCGGGGUAUAGCUCAAUAACUUGGACACUCAAAUCUUCAUCCUCAGGCACCACUUGAUAUCUUCCCAAUUGUCUUAGAACCCUUUGCGGUGCAUAUGGUUGGACACUUCUCAAGCCCAUCAAUAGCAAAUCGUUCUUUGUGGUUGUCAUGUGUAUGACUUCCCUCACUUGGAGCCAUCCUAAAGUCCACUCAAUUCGAUUCGCCUUUAAAGUUCUCAAGUGGGCGAUCCAAGAUUCAACCCCUUCUGGAGAGUUGUAAUCUUUUACCCUCUCCUCAUAACUCUCAAUGAAGUUGCUCUUGCUUGGGCUGUAGCUUAUAAAUUUUUGAUGAAGGCGAAGAUGUUCAAUUAACCACAUUUGUAGAAGGAUAUUACAACCUUCAAAGAACGUCGCCCCAGACUUACACCGUGUUAAUGCCCGAUAGAUAUCCGACAAUAUAAGUGGAGCAAGUGUGUGAUCUUCUUUGGCAGUUAUGACUUGUGCAAUUCUAGCCAUACGGAUAUCAAUCGUCCCUUUUUCAUUUGGGAAGACUAUGAUGCCCAGGAAUGCCACUAUGAAAGCAAAGUGACGAUGAAUUUUCCAAGUAUCUUUACUUUGCUUGUUGUUCAACCCCUUUUCAUGCGUUUCAAACCCAUUUGGAUGUCUAUACCUGGAGUACAGGAAGUAGAAAGAGCAACAUCCAUUGUUUAUAUUGUUCUUCCUUAUUUGUUUACUGAUGUUCAAAAUAUCAAAGAACCGGCGCACAGAGGGAGGCCUUGGGAAUAUAAGUUGCUAUUUUCUCAAGUUCCGGCCGAAACCAGUAUAUCCGGCUAUUUCCUCUAGGGUGGGAGUGAGCUUAAAGUCUGAGAAGCGGAAGACAUUGUGAACGGGAUCUCAGAAGGGCACUAAAGUCUUGAUCAGAUCAUUCCGGGGCUUGACCUUCAUAAUAUCCGUAAGAGCACCCAAAUGUUCUACUACCCAGUCUUGACCAUCUUUACCCAAGUCAUACCACCACAUUUGAAGCUAUAGUGGAGCCUGCUCUACAAUAUUUCACGGCGGGUUCUAGACAGUGUUCAUUUUGUACGUGUGAAUGGUUAGGGUUAGGGUUGACUCUAGUUCGGAAGACAGACCAGCAGACUCUUUUGCAAAAACCAGUUUUCAAUUUUGUUUCAAAGGGAAAUCACCUGAAGGUGACUAUUUGUGCGGCGUUGGCCAAAAUGGUCAUCUUUGCAAUAAUGGCCCCUUCCCACUUUCAAAUAAAGUUUUGAGGCCGAGGUAAGACACUUUAUGGGAAAAGUGAUGCCUUAUUGACAGACAUGUCCGUUCUUGACGAGACUAGCCAUUUGAUAAUUUAAAGGUAUUCUAUGGCUAUUCUGGCAAAAACGGCGCAGGACUUAAUCGAAGCUGGGUCGGUUUUAUUUUCUAACCAAUGGACAUACUUUAUUUAUUUGAUUGGAAAAAUUGGGGUCGGUACCGAUGAGAUUUGCUUACGUAUCUCACAUCCGGUGAGAAUCAGACUCGUGUAGUUCGGUCAGUUUUGACAUAAUUGGAAGAGCAUGAUAUUGAUUUACUUUCAUUUUUGAAAUGCAUUUUUUUUCUUUUUUUUCAAAACUUUUGGCAGAGUUUCGAGGCAUUUUCAAAUACCAGGGUUUUCAGAACCGGGUGAAUUUUCUAUCCUACCUCACUCUUGUUUUUUCUUUUAUUUUCUUAACCGAUCAACAAAUAAGCCGAAAUAAAUUCACACAUAGCAGGUAAGAUGCAUCAGGAUGGUCUUUAUUUCGGGUAUACUUGUCCUAGACGGACCCAACCCCUAUGUUGAGUCCCCUAAAUCAAACGCACGUGAUGCAAACAAACGUUCCUACUAGGGAUCUGGCAUAAGGUUAUGUUAUUCUAGGUUUAAACCUGGGGGUGUGUUCUAGACAUGGCUUACCCAAGCGGGACAACUUGAGCCGUGGUGGGAGCGACGUACCGGGAGCACGAAAGUCUACCCGGCCUAAUGGCUGAUCCAUCCUCGUUUUAUUUGGUAUGACCUCUAACAGAAAAGUGGGCCAUACAUACGUGUGCACCAUAUUUUUAGAAGACUCGGAAGGGAGGCGUAAGAAAAUAAUUUAAUAUAGUUCAAAUAAUAUCAAAGCGGUAAAUGAGCGGCAAUUAGCACAUUAGACCCACAAAUACAGUAAUAACGAUCAAUAAAGCCAAGUAAAAAUCACAACAACAAGCUCGAAUUCUUGAACCCUGAACCAGAGAUUCUGGGUUCGAUCCCCAACAGAGUCGCCAGAACUGUCACACCUCAUUUUUCCCGAGGGGGAUAGAGAGUUUUUCCAAUUAAAGUGACAUUAUUCAAAAUCGUAUUAUUUAAUUAUUUCAGAGUCGCCACUUGGGAUAAUUUAUGGUGUCCCAAGUCACCAGUUUAUUUUAAAUCCCAAAUCGAGGAAAUUUGACUCUGUUUAACGUCUGCGAAAAUCAAAAGACCGGGUAAGGAAUUCUGUUAACCCGGGAGAAGGUAUUAGGCACUCCCGAAUUCCGUGGUUUUAGCAAGGUUGCUUUAAUCAUACAUGGAUUAAUUAAAUUGUUUAAUUACGUGUUUUAGAACCUAUGUGCGUUUUACCUUUUACCGCUUUUAAAUUACUUUAUUAUGGCAUUAUGGAAUUAUCUUGAAAAUGAACCACGUGUGUGUGAAUCUGUUUGUUUGGUGUGCCAAAAAUCAUGUCACGCGUACGUGUACACAAUUAAUAACAAUUUAUUAAAAUUGUUCGGCCAAAGUCGCGCGAACGCGUACUUUGAUUUAUUUGGGAAAAUUAUAAUCAUGUAACGCGAACGUGUACACAAUUACGAUAAUAGAUUAAAUGUGUGCCUAAAAGCAUUUCUACAGGUGUUCAUGAAUUAAUUAUUUUUCUAGGAUUUGAGAUUAAUGUGAGGCCAUGAAUCAUGUAUAAGAGUGUGGAAGAAGCGUACAUUUCAACUAAUGAGAGCUAGAAGAAUUAAUUAAAUCUAAGUUGUUGGAAUUGUCUGAUGAUUGAUAGACAUUCACCUUUAAAAGGAAAAUGGGUCAUCCUAUGAACAAAUAAUUGACGCUGAAUCAAUUAUUGAUAGAGUGUCAAACAGACUUGAAUUUCGGCUCAGGUCCAGUUUUAUAAAGUACCUCAUAAUCCCAAUUAUUUCCCCAUUACUACGGUGGCCCAGACUUAUUUGUGUGGCAAUAAUUGCAGAGAAUUAAUCAGACACUUUACCAAGUCAAUUUAUAACACCAAGUCAGCUAAGUUCAUAUCCCAAAACGUAAUAAGCUACAUUUGAAGAAGAAAAGCACUAGUACAAUGGUUCCAAUUAUAUAAAUAAUUUCCUAAUGAAUUACUCAUGCCAUUAAGCUCUUGUGAUUCAAAUUUCAGUCUACUUUGUCUUAAAGUUUACUGCUCAAACAACUGCUUUUAACAUUCAAACGAAUUCAAAAUUGUGACUGAAAAUCUGUACAUAUACGCCUCAAACAGAUCUUUCACCAAGUGCUACAUUCACUAAAUCUCCGUUGGUCUCUAUUACCAAUGAUAGAAAAAUAAAACAACAUGCUUAAACAUUCAUAAUACAAAUUUGAACCAUUUUAUCAAACCAAUACUCAAGAAUUAAAGUUGAACUACCCAUAUAAAGGGAACUUCAAAUUUCAACUAAAUGGAUUUUCAACUAAAUUAUAACUAUAACAAGAAAUAAAAUUACAUAGUCCUGACUGAUUGAGUUUACUACACUUGAUGAAAUGCUAUAAUAACUGUAACCUUCGAUUUCAUCCACAACGCUUGUCAAUUUGACGAACAAUAGCUUACAACAUUUCAAAAUGGCUUGAUUUGGGUUUGAGACUCACAGAUCUGGCCUAUUGAUGGCCAGACCCAUAAGUUGAAGCCAUGACAUAACAUUAUCAGUCCUUCACAAAUAGCUUGACAUGUUGUCUUAACAAACCAUUAGGAAGUCUAUAGAUUAGAAUUCAUGAUCAACAAAUUAUGAUGUGGAGAUGCCAAUAAUAGAAACUAAUAGUAAUACAUGUGCUUAAGGACAUUCAUAACAGCAGCAGACAGGUAAGAGGUGAGCGAAUGUCAAUUCAAGCCAUUCAAACACUUAGAACAUUUCACAAGAAGAUAUAUAACAUCAUGUAAGUACAACGACCAUAUGAAUUUCACAGAUUUCAAGCUCAAAUUGAUUGUGCUAAGCUCAGAAUCAUACAAAGUUAUCAAUGUGUACCUUAAAGCAGCAAAAGUAAGUAGAAGAGAAAAUAAGUCUCUGAAAUUCUGAGAAGAAACAGCAGCAAGAACACAAAGCAGAAAAACCAAAACCACAGCAGCCUCAAACUCAAACCAUGAAUCCCAGCAAAAGAACAGUGGCAAAUGAAAAGAAACACAGCCUGAAUUUUUUUCUUUUGUUUUCUAGCUUUGAACUUAAAAAGGAGAUCAGAUUGGAAAAUGAGGAGAAAGAGUCUUGGAAUAUUUUUUCAGGGCUCUCUUACGCGUCCGAAAAUUCCUGUUUUAGAAUGCAGAAUGAGUCCUAUUAUAUAGGCUAUGUGUGUGUAAUCAGAGAGAAUGAGAGAGAGUCCCAAAAAAAAAAUAGAAUCUGUCAGGCCCUCCCUAAAAUUUAGGAAAAUAGCAUCUUUCAAAACUGAAUUUGGACAGCUGUCCUUGUUUCUAGAUGGUUCUUUUUAUUUCUUACCCUUUAACUUCUGAAAAUUAUUUCUUGUGACACCAACUUGAAAUUAACUCUGAUUUUUUUAAAAAUGCAUUUUAGUCCCUUCUAGAGACUUCCCCAACAAACAAAUCAGAUUCCCUAAUUUUCCAAAUCCCUUUGACCCCUUUAACUCCUAUUAAUUACACAUGAGCCAUAGUAGAAAGAAAUCAUGUAAAUCAGUCCCAAUAAACAAAGAAGCAAAAUUAAUCUAAUUAAUUCAAUAAUUAAAACUAACUAGCAUGCAAUUGAGCUGUUAAAAUCACAUAAACCCUUAAAACAAAACAGACAUGUUGCGCCUUAAAACAAAUAGCCAAAAUGUUAAUUUACUGUUAAUUAACUAAUUACUAAGCUAAACUAAUUAAACUGAGAUAAACGUUCAUCAAACAAGUUCUGAUUAAAUACCUAAAACACAUUGUUCUUCUCUCUCUUUUUUUUUUUUAAUCUUUCUUAAAGCAAACAAAAUAACAAAACAAGAUAAAGAGGGCAAGGAUGUACCUAGUAAAGAAAAACAAAACUACCCAUCUUGAAGCGAAACAAGAGGCUCGUCCGGAUUCCGAUGAUUCCGUAAUGAACUAAAGCUUACAUUAAUUAAUUGUUCUUGACAAGAACAAAUAAUUAAUGUUAGUUUCAACUCAAAACAGCUUGAACUUGAUGAAGGAAUCAGAAAGAACGAAAUUAGGUUUUCUGGCCGUUUUCAGAUCUAAAAUUCGAGGAUUUUGAGUGGUGUUUUAGGAAAAUUGAAGGUAGAUUUGGAUUGAGGAUGAGGUGAGGAGUGUGGGGUGUGAAUUUGGGCGGAUUUGGAGGUCGUUUGGUGGUGCCAGAAUGGCGACCGCCGGUGGAGGUUUGUGGGAGUUUGGGGGCGGCUAGGGUUAGGCUGAGUAAGAGAGAUGGAGAAGUGAGAGGGACCUAUGGGGUUU
rnacentral:lncRNA from 1 species